AUUCUGCCCAUGCGGGGAAGGAUGAGAAGCUUCGACCAAGGUUCGACUCGAGCGCCAGCGAGAGAGCGUUGCCGCAGGCAACGACCCGAAGGGCGAAGCGCGCUGAGUAAUCCUUCCCCCACCACCA
rnacentral:sRNA from 1 species